CUGCUGCUGACCUUUUGGAGGCUAAGACACAAACACAGGCCCCUCCUCCUGCGUCGGAAAGCCAAACCUCUCGGAGACGCUCAGAGACACCUGCACAGCUUCUUCUUCUUCUCUUCUUCUUCUCUUCUUCUUCUCUUCUGCACGUUUCUCCAGAUCUGGAUCUUAAAGCUGCUCCUUCAACUCAUCGAUUCUCAGGAUGUUGACCCUGUAGGUCGAACACGCCAUGAGCAGCGUCAACUCUCCAGCCUGUCUGCUCGCCCGCAGCUCUUUCUACAGACAUUCACCUGCAGCUGCUGAGCCCUCGUCAGGCGUGUUCAGACACAGACAGGUCACCCUCUGGGUCACCAUGGCAACGCCUCCAGGUGGAGUUGAAUCCAAACGAUUAGAGCUCAACAUCAUCCUGGAUUUUCCUUCUUCUCGUCCGUUCUCCACCUCGAAACCCCCCCACCCUGCCGGCCGGGGCGUCCAGUAGGAGGAAACGAGUGAAGUUAAAAAAAGAUUAACUUCACAUUUGUCUCUGCGACUCAGGGUUGGACGGCCGGGAUCGAACAUGUGGACAAAUACUGACACUUAAAUAUCACCGAGGAAAAGUCUGACGGAAAACCUUUCACUCAGACCAGAUUCAUCAGAUGAUCAAGGAAACAAAGAACAAGAUAAAGUCGAGCGGCAGCGAGAAAAAGACGAGUUGGUUAAUUGGUUAAUUGAUUAAAAUAAAUAUGCAAAUCAUUUGAAAAAUUGAUCAAAUUUUCUGAGGAAAAAAAAAAAGUUCUGUCUUCUUCAACACAGCUGAUGUAUGGGGGGGGGGGACACCACAGUGUGAUUGACAGCUGGUACCGUCCAAUGGGUGCAGGUGAUAGGUGUAGGUGGGCGUAUCCUGGAGCUCUCAGUCAGGCUCCACCCACCGCUCCUCCAAAUAUGGUUACUUCUGGUUUUAAAAAACCAAGAUGGCGCCUGACAGCCUGUGAAACGGAGGCUUCAGAACAGGAACUCAAACCACCGGCUGAUGUCACGAGGGGACACCAACACAAAGAUCACGUGUCAUCACUAAUGAAGGAUUCAUUCAUUUAAAUAAAAAACAAAACCUUCUCACGACUCAGGAUUUGUUGUUUACGUCCAGCGUCGACUUUAAACUCAUGAUGUUCGAUAAUUAGUCUUAAUUAGUCUUAAUUAAUCUUAAUUAGUGUUUAGUUAGAGCGGUGGAACAUGUUCUCCAUCCUGUUCUUCAAGAGCAGAAAUGUUCAGUUACAGAAUCAUCAGCUCUGUUCUAAACACAGAUCAGCCAUAAUCAGGCCGCUCUAUAAGCAAAGAGUGCAAAGAACAGAUCGCACAGGAGGAGGAGAGAACAAGCUCCUUCCCGCUCUCGCUCUCCUCGACGACCCUCCGGCUCACUGACCUGGAAAAACUGCAGCGUGGGACGAUGAGCUCGAAUCCUCAAACCAGCCACAGAGCAAAUGUUCUUUUCAACCUUUCAACUCUGUCAUGCAGAGCAGCCACGUCUCCCUUUGUUUGUCUUUCCUCUGUCUCAUAGAGACACACAGACCGGGGGGGGGGAUUCGUCGUGAUUUGUGGGGUCAUCACAUCGACUGUGUGGGUGGAGCCAGACGUCAGAGGCAACUUUAAUAUUUCAAUUUUAAGAGUGAGGUCAUCAUUUGCGUCUCUCCUGUUGAAGUGAGGAAUGUGCAGCGUCAUCUUAUAUUUUUAUAUUGAAGUGAAAGUUUCACAAAUAAAAUAUUUGAAAGAACCAAACAGAAGAAACUGUCUCGUUCACUUUGUUCAAGAUUUUACAUCCAGAGGAAAAAGAA